rnacentral:rRNA from 1 species
UACGGAAGGUUCGGGCGUUAUCCGGAUUUAUUGGGUUUAAAGGGAGCGCAGGCGGACUUAUAAGUCAGUUGUGAAAUACGGCGGCUCAACCGUCGAGGUGCAGUUGAUACUGUAAGUCUUGAGUGCGCGCAGGGAUACUGGAAUUCAUGGUGUAGCGGUGAAAUGCUUAGAUAUCAUGAAGAACUCCGUUCGCGAAGGCGUGUAUCCGGAGCGCAACUGACGCUGAGGCUCGAAAGUGCGGGUAUCGAACAGG